AGUGAACGCUGGCGGUAGGCCUAAUACAUGCAAGUCGAACGGCAACACAGUAAGAUCGUUCUCUUACGGUUGGCGACGGGCGGGUGGGUAAGGAAUGCAUCGCCAUCUACUUUUUCGGGGAGAAUUUCGUAGAGCAGGUGCCACUAAUACCUCAUACAUUCAACGGCUGGAAUCAGUAGAUAUACGGGCUUUGCCUGUCACUAUUAGCUGAUUCCGCGUCGGAUUAGCUAGUUGGUAAGGUAACGGCCUACCAAGGCAACGAUGCGUAGCUGACCUGAGAGGAUGAUCAGCCACACUGGAACUGAGACACGGUCCAGACUCCUACGGGAGGCAGCAGUGGGGAAUAUUGGACAAUGGGCGCAAGCCUGAUGGAGCCACACCGCGUGAGUGAAGAAGGCCUUCGGGUCGUAAAGCCCUGUUAUUAGGGAAGAAAAAAAGUAGAAGAAUCCACGGACGUUCUGACGGUACCUAAACAGAAAGCCACGGCUAACUACGUG
rnacentral:rRNA from 1 species